AUUGAACGCUGGCGGCAGGCCUAACACAUGCAAGUCGAACGAGUGGCGGACGGGUGAGUAAUGUCUGGGAAACUGCCUGAUGGAGGGGGAUAACUACUGGAAACGGUAGCUAAUACCGCAUACCAUCGGAUGUGCCCAGAUGGGAUUAGCUAGUAGGUGGGGUAAAGGCUCACCUAGGCGACGAUCCCUAGCUGGUCUGAGAGGAUGACCGGCCACACUGUAACUGAGACACGGUCCGGACUCCUACGGUAGGCAGCAGGAGGGAAUAUUGCACAAUGGGCUCAAGCCUGAUGCAGCCAUGCCGCGUGUAUGAAGAAGGCCUUCGGGUUGUAAAGUACUUUCAGCGGGGAGGCGUUACCCUCAGAAGAAGCACCGGCUAACUCCGUGCCAGCAGCCGCGGUAAUUC
rnacentral:rRNA from 1 species